rnacentral:tRNA from 1 species
GCCGUCGUUGGACAAUCUGGUCGUCCGCCGGUCUUGAGAACCGGCGGUGCUUCGCACCAUGUGGGUUCAAAUCCCACCGACGGCG